GACGAACGCUGGCGGCGUGCUUAACACAUGCAAGUCGAGCGGUAAGGCCCUUUCGGGGGUACACGAGCGGCGAACGGGUGAGUAACACGUGGAUGACCUGCCCUCAGCUCUGGGAUAAGCCUGGGAAACUGGGUCUAAUACCGGAUAUGACUCCAUGACGCAUGUUGUGGGGUGGAAAGCCUUGUGCGGCUGAGGAUGGGCCCGCGGCCUAUCAGCUUGNGGUGGGUGAUGGCCUACCAAGGCGACGACGGGUAGCCGGCCUGAGAGGGCGACCGGCCACACUGGGACUGAGACACGGCCCAGACUCCUACGGGAGGCAGCAGUGGGGAAUCUUGCGCAAUGGGCGAAAGCCUGACGCAGCGACGCCGCGUGAGGGAUGACGGCCU
rnacentral:rRNA from 1 species